rnacentral:rRNA from 1 species
CGUGUAGGCGGUCUGGUAAGUCGGUCGUGAAAUCCCUCGGCUCAACCGAGGAACUGCGGUCGAAACUAUUAGACUAGAGUAUCGGAGGGGAUGGCGGAAUUCCCGGUGUAGAGGUGAAAUUCGUAGAUAUCGGGAGGAACACCUGUGGCGAAGGCGGCCAUCUGGAAGAUUACUGACGCUGAGACGCGAAAGCGUGGGGAGCAAACA